rnacentral:rRNA from 1 species
UACGAAGGGAGCUAGCGUUGCUCGGAAUCACUGGGCGUAAAGGGUGCGUAGGCGGGUCUUUAAGUCAGGGGUGAAAUCCUGGAGCUCAACUCCAGAACUGCCUUUGAUACUGAGGAUCUUGAGUCCGGGAGAGGUGAGUGGAACUGCGAGUGUAGAGGUGAAAUUCGUAGAUAUUCGCAAGAACACCAGUGGCGAAGGCGGCUCACUGGCCCGGUACUGACGCUGAGGCACGAAAGCGUGGGGAGCAAACAGG